rnacentral:rRNA from 1 species
GACGAACCGUGCGAACGUUGUUCGGAAUCACUGGGCUUAAAGGGCGCGUAGGCGGGCUGUCAAGUCUGGGGUGAAAUCCCACGGCUCAACCGUGGAACUGCCUUAGAUACUGACGGCCUCGAGGGAGGUAGGGGCGAGCGGAACUGUGAGUGGAGCGGUGAAAUGCGUUGAUAUUCACAGGAACUCCGGUGGCGAAGGCGGCUCGCUGGAUCUCUUCUGACGCUGAGGCGCGAAAGCUAGGGGAGCAAACGGG